AGAACGAACGCUGGCGGCAUGCCUAAUACAUGCAAGUCGAACGAACACUUCGGUGUUAGUGGCGCACGGGUGCGUAACGCGUGGGAAUCUGCCCUUGGGUUCGGAAUAACAGUUGGAAACGACUGCUAAUACCGGAUGAUGACGAAAGUCCAAAGAUUUAUCGCCCAGGGAUGAGCCCGCGUAGGAUUAGCUAGUUGGUGAGGUAAAGGCUCACCAAGGCGACGAUCCUUAGCUGGUCUGAGAGGAUGAUCAGCCACACUGGGACUGAGACACGGCCCAGACUCCUACGGGAGCAGCAGUAGGGAAUAUUGGAC
rnacentral:rRNA from 1 species